UCCACCUCUAUAGCCCCACUCCCUACAAUGGAGGGCUCCCAGUAGCCUCUGCCAUCUUGCCCUGAACAGAUAGCCGGUCUGCUCAUCACAUGACUGUUACUUGGGGUCUGACCUUGUACCAAGAUUGUAUCCCUGAGUCUUCCAGCUUCAUGGUUGGUGUCCUGUAUUCCUGCAACAGAGACCCUUGUCCUGAUGACUCAUUCAGUGCCUCAGCCCGUCUGUGGCCAGUCCCAUGGGUUCUUAGAUUUUAAUGGCUUUCUCCCUGAUUUGACAGCGCCCUAAACCUACUAAUCUAUAUUGGGCCUGAAGAAGGAGGUAAAUGGAAAGAUUGUGAGUGGUGAAGACACCAAGGGGGAGGUCCAAGCAAAUCAUCCAGGAGAACAGGCUUAAGAAGGUGAACCUGGCUGCUGUCUCCAUGAGCUGUGUUUAUCCCUGGGAAGUGGAAGACUCUUGGUCAGUCACCUAUAGCAGGAAGCAUGAAUUCUGGAGAGGUGACCCUGCCCCGAGAAGGACCACACAGAUCCUUCUGGGGAUCCUUGCCCCUCCCUCCCCUGGCCUAGAGCACAGCUCCAGCUACUUCACAGACAAGGAGGUACCACUAUAGAAUUUCUAACUGCACAUUCUCUUGAAAAGGCAGAUGACCUUGAAAUCAUUUAGAAGGGCAGGAGCAAAGCACCUGAGCAUCAUUUGAGGGGAUGACAAGGCCAACAUCCUGAAGUGUCCUCACCACGUGGAGGAACAUACCAGUUUUCUUCUCCCUUUGCAAGAUGCUCAUACCUAUUCAUGUCUUAAGAGGACUGGAGCUAACUUCCCUGGUCUGUACUACAUUCCUCAGAGGAAAGACACAACUAAAAUGUGAGAAAUGGGUGCAAGAUCAUUAUCUGAUUGCUUGGGAUUCAAUUCAUGAAAUCUUGAGUCACACUUGGACCAUGAGAAAAGUACAUGGACAGGCAGGACACUGCUGACCCACAAUCAAUACACAAUAACUGUACAUUUGACUAAUAUAUGGGCUUUCUAUUUAGAUAUCUUUAAGGAACUGUAACAAAAGUGCUGGUUUUAACAGAAUUCAUUCAUGUGUUCAUUCAUAAAUUCAUUUACAAAAAACUUGUUUUGAGCAAUUAUUAUAUACAAGUGUUUAUGUGUGAGUGAAAACCACAAAAGGUCUGCAAUCAAGGACUGUAGAGUCCAUUGGAUUUAGUGACUUUAUUUACAAGAUGUAAUCCUAUUGAAACACUUAUUUUGCUAGAUAACUCUCCUUUUGUUUCUGUUCCCCAUGACUUUCAUUCUAUGGUACCUUAGAAAUUAUUUACGGAAGCUGUUUUUGUGACUAACUACCAGAGGCAGAUUUAUCCAGACAGGAAUAAAACUUUAAUUUCAGAGACUCUGUUUUUUACAUAGGUCCCUUCCAAGAUUCUCAGAGGGAUCCUAGAAGUGUAUUUAUAUGGUCAUGGAUUUUGUGAAAUUUGCCAUGAUAAGGUAUUUUAAUCGCAAUUAAGACUACUCUGCCUUUCCAGUUCUGAAUUUCCCUGUGUCAUUCUGUUGCUCAGCUCAGAUGGUAAUGACAUAGAAAUAAUAUAGGCAUAUAGGUGUAUGCCUGCAGCUCACUGAAAUAACUCCCCCAGAGCUAGACAUGAAGUUUCAAGAAGGUAAGUUUUGUGUAUGCAAAGUGAGUGAGGCAGAGGAGAAACAAAUUUUAAAAGGUUGGCAGCCCAAAGUUAGUCUAUGAAAAAUUCUUUUUUCUUUUAUUAAAUCAUAACUGUAUACAUUUAUGAGGUACAAUGUGCUGACUUGGUAUAAAAUAUGGAAUGCUUACAUUCAAAUGUACAAAAAUUGUAAGCAAUAGAUUUAAUUCUCAUUAAUGUUUAUUAAAAGAUUGCUUCUUCAUAUGACAAGAAUAUUAUAUCGAGAGAGAGAACUUUACCUUUGUAAAUGCAUCAUACAGCUUUUUCUUUGUGUUUACAGGAACUGCAUAAACUAUAAUUUUCAAAGUUUUUAUAUUUGUAGGACACAAACUAUGGUGGUCUAUAAAUGGACAAUACAUCUAUGUGACAUGUUUUAUGCAUCCUAAGGUAUUAGUAUGCUAUUAUCAUUAAUAGUUAUGAAGCUGAAAUAAACUUUUAUAAACGACCAAGUAUAAAACAUAAAUUUUGAGCAAAUAUGCUGGAGGCAAAUUAAAUUGCUUUAAAUAAAGUUUUUCUAUGGGAAAUGAUAUUAUAAUAUUCUUAUCAUAUGAAGAGGCAAUCAGAACAGCAGCCAAAAAAUGUAUGACAGAAAGUAUUAUACAGAUAUGUCAGUUAUUACUAUUAAUUAAUACAAGUAUUAUGUUGG